AUUUUAUUGUCGUUAUAAAUAUUUAGCAACUGUGUAUUGCACGGGGUUUAAUUCAAUAAACUAUAAAACAAAAAUAAUUAAUAAGUUAGAAAGUAAAAAUUGAACUCACAUUCCAUAUCCUCCUAGUAAAUGCCUAUCCUUUAAAAAAAUAAAUUAAACUUUAUUAUUUUUAUAAAAAAAAAGAAUAUUCUAAAAAAAACAGGUGAUAUCUCAGGAGAGAGAAAAAUAAAAAAAAGAGAAGGAAAGAAUUCCGCGUAGACAGAUGAGGUAAUUAGACUUCUUUGAUAGAGACAUCUACAAGUAUAUUCAUUCAUUCAUUAACUCCAAAAAAAAAUAAAAUUAAAAACAUUCAACUAUUUUUUAUAACACCUUUCUCUCCCCUCUUUCUCUUCUCUCUCAAAAUUCUUUGUGAUAUUCUCUCUUAUGAACAUGAAUCGCCCUCCUUACAAACCCGUACACAAUAAUAUCAUCUCAUCAAUCUCUUAAUUAAAUUCUUUCACACUUAUAUUACUUUUCCCACUUUACUAACUUCUUUCCGAUACGAUCCUUCAAUAAUUAUAUCUUUCCAUUUCAUAUAAAUAUAUCGUAAUCUAAACCAUCACCUCUUUUAAAAUUUUCAAUCCAAUUUGAAUUUUAAUAUCGAAUUUUAUAUACGAAGUAUGUAAAUAUAUAGUUUUUCUUGUUUUAUGUUUUUAGUUUGUACUCCGUAAAUGGAAGGGCAUAUGCAUCAACAUCAUCAACACCAGUAUCAUCAUCAACAGCAACAUCAGCAGCCGCCGCCGCAACAACAACAAAUGAGUGGUACGGUGGGGGUGGAUACAGGGGAUAGAUUCCCACAGUGGAGUGUUCAAGAAACAAAAGAGUUCUUAAUUAUUCGAGCAGAUUUAGAUCGAAAUUUCAUGGAAACUAAAAGGAACAAGCUUCUCUGGGAAGUUAUCUCUACUAAAAUGAGAGAAAAAGGUUUUAAUCGUAGCGCUGAGCAGUGCAAGUGCAAAUGGAAAAACCUCGUCACCCGUUACAAGGGGUGUGAGACAAUGGAACCGGAGGUGAUGAGGCAACAAUUCCCAUUCUACAACGAGAUGCAAGCGAUUUUUACGGCGAGGAUGCAGAGGAUGCUGUGGGCGGAGGAAGAAGGCGGACCAGGCACAUCGUCUACGACAACGAAGAAGAACAAGCUAGCUCAAGGCCAAGGCAUGACAUCGGAGGAGGAGGAGGAUGAAGAUACAGACGGAGAAAAAGGCGGUCUUAAGAAGAAAGCGAGCAAGAAGGCGAAAACAAUGGCUAGUAGUGGUGGUGUUGGUGCUAAUGUUAGUAGUAUAAUUACGAAUACUAAUAAUAGUAUUAACGCGGUGAAGGAGAUGUUGGAGGAUUUUAUGAAGCAGCAGUUGCAAAUGGAGGUGCAAUGGAGGGAGGCGUACGAGGAGAGGGAGGAGGAGAGGAGGAGGGCGGAGAUGGAGUGGAGGCAGAGAAUGGAGGCAUUGGAGAAUGAGAGGUUGGUAAUGGAGAGGAGGUGGAGAGAGAGAGAAGAGCAGAGGAAAAUGAGGGAGGAAGCUAGGGCUGAAAAGAGGGAUGCUCUUAUUACUACUCUUUUAAAUAAGCUCCGAAGAGAAGAUUAACUGAUACGCUCGUGAACAACUCGUGAACAAGCUUGUGAAUUGUGCUCAUGUAAAUGUACUCAAAUUUGCAUGGUUUUAUUCUUCUUCAAAUGUUGUAGCUUAGCUAGAUCAUGCAAUAACAGGUUCCGGCGACUUUUCUGGUGGACGUAGGUCCGGUGAAGGUUCACGGCGGCGGCUCAAGGUUCUGGCGAAUUUUCAAGCGGUUUCAAGUGUAUUUUGGGUGCGUUUUUGGUGCAAUUUGGUGCUUUUUUAGGGGUCUUUCUUGGUGGGUUUCUUGAUUAGUUUUGGGGUGCGUUUCUGGUGCGGUUUCCAGGCGACAUCAUAGGCUUUCCGGCGUGGCAGUUCUUGGACUGUUUGGCGACGAUUUUAGGAUCGGUUUUGGUCAAUUUCAGGAAGGUUUCAGGCGAGUUUCUUGGGAAGGAUUUGUUCAGUUUUCUGGCGGUUUUCAGGCAAUGUUUUUUUUUACCGUCGUUCUUCUUCUCUGGCAGCAAGUCCGUGAUCCUGAUUUUUAAUUAUAAGUAUAUUUUCGAAAAUUUAUUAAUAUUAUAAAAAUAAAUUUUCAUAAUUUAUAAUUAGUAGUACGUAUUUCUCAAAAAAAUAGACGUAUCAAAAAGAAUACAUAAUAUAAAUACAUUUUUAAUACAUUAUAGACAUUAAAAAUAAUUCAAAAUGAAAAUCAAAAUACUAAAUACGGGCCAUGUCAUUAUAUUGUGGUGCCUUUUUUAAAGAAUGACAUUGUAGAAUUUUCAUGUGUUAUAUAGUGCGUAUGUAUGAUUGUUGAAACAUUCUAAAGAUGGAUGUUUACUCUCUAAUAAUAUUAAGAGCAUUGCAUGCUCUUUUCAUCUAAAGUAAGAUGUUUAAGGUGUUCUGGUUA